GGCAUGAGGAUCCUGGGGUUAAUACACCAGCCAGAAUAAGCCUGUGGGAUUUAAGCCUGAAGCUUCUAUGAGGAGUUCAGUUCAGUCGGUCGGUCGGG
rnacentral:lncRNA from 1 species